CGGAAGCGUUGGUUUGCAGGGUUCUUGCCAGAAAACCCCGCCCUUCGGGACGUGGGGGUCGCGUGUUCGAAUCACGCCACUCCGACCA
rnacentral:tRNA from 1 species